GGUGGCUCAGUGGUAGAGUGCUUGCCUUGCAUACACGAGGCCCUGGGUUCGAUUCCUUGGCACCA
rnacentral:tRNA from 1 species